rnacentral:lncRNA from 1 species
GUAGUCUAACGGAUAAAAAAUUACUUAGAUGUCAUCUCCAUAAACAAAGAUAGGAUCAGAUAACAAAUACUCUGCUACCAAAGAACAUAAGAUGAAUUUUUUCAGAUCUGAACUUUUACAUAAUCAGUACAAUUUAACAUAUUAUAACAGCUAAGUUAAUUUAUUUCUGGAUUACCAAAUACUUAGCUUGUUAUAAACAAUGUUCAUGCAAAUAACGUAACCUGAUAAUGUAAAAAGAUUAUUACACUAUCAGUGCAUAAAACGUAAAUUCAAUAAUAAAAACCGGCUGAAAAUUUCUUAAUUAGUUGUGUAGGCACAAACUAAGAAUCAAGAUAAAAGAGAAACCUACAAAUUCCAGCCUUAAUUAUUAACAGAAAAAUAUUUUUAUUUUGUUCUUAGGAAGGGUACAAAACAAGACGCCUCGAACAAGAGGAACAGAGAUAUUUGCGUUUGAACCUCAAGCAAAUGGGUAAACAGAAAAGCUUCCCCUUGCCUUCAAUGUCCACAGCCUCCACUGUCCCUCCACAAUAUGGACAUGUCCCUGAUGCUUUCUUUCUUCCUACUUCUUUUUCUUCUUCUUCACACACAUAUAUCAUUCGCAUUCUCUCUCUCUCUAAAUCUCUC